UACGUAGGGUCCGAGCGUUGUCCGGAAUUACUGGGCGUAAAGAGCUCGUAGGUGGUUUGUCGCGUUGUUCGUGAAAACUCACAGCUUAACUGUGGGCGUGCGGGCGAUACGGGCAGACUAGAGUACUGCAGGGGAGACUGGAAUUCCUGGUGUAGCGGUGGAAUGCGCAGAUAUCAGGAGGAGCACCGGUGGCGAAGGCGGGUCUCUGGGCAGUAACUGACGCUGAGGAGCGAAAGCGUGGGGAGCGAACAGG
rnacentral:rRNA from 1 species